rnacentral:misc_RNA from 1 species
UGGUUCUGGCAUCGAUGAAGAACGCAGCGAAAUGCGAUACGUAAUGUGAAUUGCAGAAUUCAGUGAACCAUCGAAUCUUUGAACGCACAUUGCGCCCGCCGGCAUUCCGGCGGGCAUGCCUGUUCGAGCGUCAUUUCCACCCUCAGGCUCGCCCUGGUGUUGGGGACCUGCCCCGCGCAGCCCCCGAAAGACAGCGGCGGACCCACCCGGCUCCGAGCGUAGUACUGUACGUCGCUCCGGCCUCCGGGCGGUCUCCUGCCGUAAAACGACCCCCCUUCUCUAGGUUGACCUCGGAUCAGGUAGGAAUACCCGCUGA